GCAAAAAUAAGAAGGUUUAA
rnacentral:snRNA from 1 species